AGAGAUGAGGAGACAGAGCAUUGCUGAAUGACAUAAGAUUCAACAGGAAGAUGGCAGAUCAAACUGGGAAAUGUGUUAUCUGAAGCAGACUAAGGGGAGAAAGUCAAGGGUCAAGGUCAAGGUCACAGCAGGAAAAUGGCAUCAAGCACCAAACUUCAAAAAGGAGUGGCUCUGAUGGAAAUGAGACCAUGAACUGUAAAGUUAGUAGCCAGGGAAGUUUGUCCUAGGACAGAAACAGGUACUUGGAAGGAGUCAGGGAACUUGAUUCCAAUCUAAGUCUGGGAAGAGGAAGUACAGGCUGAAGCCAGGCAGGGCUGAACCCCUUAAUACAUAUAACAUAGUCAUUUCCUGUCUUGAUAUACUACUGCAUGUAAAUCUUCCCGUCACUACCUACACAGAACUAACAUUACAAAGUAUGGCAGGAUUAAAGCAAGGUUCCUCCUUUACCAAAGAAAUGUUCUACAUCCUAGGAGGAUUAAGGCUUAGUUAAAAGUAAUAACCAU
rnacentral:lncRNA from 1 species